GUGCUUGCUUCAGCAGCACAUACACUAAAAUUGGAAUGAAACAAAGAAGCAUGGCUCCGGCAAAAGGAUGACAUGCAAAUUUGUAAAGUGUUCCAUAUUUAU
rfam:Canis lupus familiaris chromosome 28, whole genome shotgun sequence.